UGAAUGAUAAAUAAAAAGUGAUCC
rnacentral:siRNA from 1 species